UAGUUUAAGGAAAUAAUCUUAAAUGUAUUCUGCCCAAUGAUUUUUUAAAUGGCCGCAGUACCUUGACUGUGCUAAGGUAGCAUAAUCAAUUGGCUUCUAAUUAAAGUCUGGAAUGAAAGGAAAAAUGAAGUAAUUCUAUCUUAAAAAAUUUUUUUUAAAUUUAUUUAAAUGAUGAAAAUAUCAUUUUUUAGAAAAAAGACGAGAAGACCCUUAGAGUUUUUAUUAUUUUUUUUGUUGGGGCGACAAGUAAACAAUUAAACUUUACUAAUUUUUUUUAAUCGAUUUAAUAAUAAGAUUAAUUAAACUACCUUAGGGAUAACAGCAUUAUAUUAUAUGUGAUUGUGACCUCGAUGUUGGACUAGGAACUUUAUGGCUAGCCGUCAUAAAAGAUUUGUUCUGUUCGAACAAUUUUAUCCUAC
rnacentral:rRNA from 1 species